UUAAAUUUAUAUUUCUAUCCUUCAAAGGCAUUUGUAUAGUUUUUGUCUUAAAUGAGUUAACAUUAAUGAUUCAUAGUUAUGAUUAUUUUACAAUUGUAAUUGUGUAUUGUAUUAACCUUAAUGUACUAAUAUAUCUAGAACAGCAUACACAAAUUUUUGUAUUAGUAUCAUCCAUUUCAUGGGCGGAUUCAGCCAUUUUCAAAAGGGGGGUUCUCAAACAAAGAUAAAAGGGGGAUGGAGGGCAGAAGGUUUCAACUAUAUGUCCCCAUUCAAAUGCAUUGAUCAUCCAACAUAAAUGAAGGGGGUGUAUUUCUGACCCCUGGAACUCUCUUCUGGAUCCACCACUGCAUUUGUAUUUUCCUACUUUAAAGAAUAAUUUAAUGAUUUUUUUUUACGGUUUACACAAAUUCUGUGUUAUUUUUAAAAUGUUUUUUGUACCCUUCACAUAGGAUGAAAACAGAGUAUUGGUCAUUGGUUUUAUAAUUAUUAUAUUUUUUAUGUACUAGGAUGAACAGCCUGAAAUGUUUUUUGAAUGUGUACCA
rnacentral:lncRNA from 1 species